rnacentral:rRNA from 1 species
CCAUAACCGGAACAAAACGUUGAGAAAUUGGCGCUAAUAUUCCAUGUGUAUUUUCUAUGGCAUCAUAAAAAAUAUAAAGAACUUUGGUUAUAGAUGGGCAUGCGUAUCAUUAGCUAGUUGGGGAGGUAACGGCUCACCAAGGCGACGAUGAUUAGGGGUUCUGAGAGGAAAAACCCCCACACUGGAACUGAGACACGGUCCAGACUCCUACGGGAUGCAGCAGUAGGGAAUAUUGGGCAAUGGAAGGAAUUCUGACCCAGCCAUGCCGCGUGCAGGAAUACAGUCCUAUGGACUUUAAACUGCUUUUAUUAUAGAGUAACCUGGGGGACGAGUCCCCCACUGCAAGUAUAUAAUGAAUAAGCAUCGGCUAACUCCGUGCCAGCAGCCGCGGUAAUACGGGGGAUGCAAGCGUUAUCCGGAUUUAUUGGGGUUAAAGGGUGCGCAGGCUGAUCGGUAAGUCAGGGGUGAAAAGUCACUGCUUAACAGUGAUCGUGCCUAUGAUACUGCCGGACUAGAGUUUAAGAGGUGUAACUGGAAUGUGAUGUGUAGCGGUGAAAUGCUUAGAUAUGUCACAGAACGCCAAUCGUGAAGACAGUUUACAAACUUAAUACUGACGCUCAUGCACGAAAGCGUGGGGAUCAAACAGGAUUAGAUACCCUGGUAGUCCACGCUGUAAUCGAUGAUCACUCGUUGUUGGGUAGUAAUACUCAGUGGCUAAGCGAAAGCGAUAAGUGAUCCACCUGGGGAGUACGAUCGCAAGGUUGAAACUCAAAGGAAUUGACGGGGACCCGCACAAGUAGCGGAGCAUGUGGUUUAAUUCGAAGCAACGCGAAGAACCUUACCUAAGCUUGACAUC